rnacentral:rRNA from 1 species
AUUGAACGCUGGCGGCAGGCCUAACACAUGCAAGUCGAACGAGUGGCGGACGGGUGAGUAAUGUCUGGGAAACUGCCUGAUGGAGGGGGAUAACUACUGGAAACGGUAGCUAAUACCGCAUACCAUCGGAUGUGCCCAGAUGGGAUUAGCUAGUGUGUGGGGUAACGGCUCACCAAGGCGACGAUCCCUAGCUGGUGUGAGAGGAUGACCAGCCACACUGGGACUGAGACACGGUCCAGACUCCGACGGGAGGCAGCAGUGGGGAAUAUUGGACAGUGGGCGAAAGCCUGAGGCAGCUGUGCCGCGUGUAUGAAGAAGGCCUUCGGGGUGUAAAGUACUUUCAGCGGGGAGGCGUUACCCGCAGAAGAAGCACCGGCUAACUCCGUGCCAGCAGCCGCGGUAAUAC